AGAUUUAUUCAGGAGUGAUGACAAAAUGACCACAGCAACUUGACCACUAAAGCAUUUGCCACCAGAGGCUUGAGGGGCAACUAAACGGAAGGUCUUGAUGACUCAUUCAACUGAGGUUCACUGCUGACAGCUUUUUGGGCAUCCUCUCCCCCUUCUGGGCUAAAUGGAUUAGUCUCAAUGGGAAUAUUAGGGGUCACAGAGGCAUCUGCUGAAGCAGUGUCUUCACCAUUUCUGGAAAGCUGUGGUGACUCAGAUUUUCCCCACUUUAUGGGCUCCAAUC